CCUGCAAACUACGUGCCAGCAGCGCGGUUAGACGUAGGGGGCAAGCGUGUCCGGAAUUACUGGGCGUAAAGGGCGUGUAGGCGGUUUCACACGUAGCGGUUUUCAGCCGCCGGCUCACCGGCGGGAGGGCAGCUAAACGGUGGAACUGAGGGCAGGAGAGGUGCACGGGAUUUCCUGGUGGAGCGGUGAAAAUGCGUAGAGAUCAGGGAAGAACACCGGUGGCGAAGGGCGGUGCACUGGCCUGGCCCUGACGCUGAGGCGCGACAGCGUGGGGAGCGAACGGGAUUAGAUACCCCGGUAGUCCACGCCGUAAACGAUGGAUACUAGGUGUCGCGGGGGUCCACCCGGCGGUGCCGGAGCUAACGCACUAAGUAUCCCGCCUGGGGAGUACGGCCGCAAGGUUGAAACUCAAAGGAAUUGACGGGGGCCCGCACAAGCAGUGGAGCAUGUGGUUUAAUUCGACGCAACGCGCAGAACCUUACCAGGACUAGACGGGAUCAUGAGCGCCGCGAAAGCGGCGGGCUCCUUCGGGAGAGUGGUCGUCAGGUGCUGCAUGGUUGUCGUCAGCUCGUGUCGUGAGAUGUUGGGUUAAGUCCCGCAACGAGCGCAACCCUCGUCGGAUGUUGCCAGCGCCUAGGGCGGGCACUCAUCCGAGACUGCCGGUGACAAACCGGAGGAAGGUGGGGAUGACGUCAAAUCCGCAUGGCCUUUAUGUCCUGGGCCACACACGUGCUACAAUGGCGCCGACAACGGGCCGCGACCUCGCGAGGGGGAGCGAAUCCUUCAAACGGCGUCUCAGUUCGGAUCGCAGGCUGCAACCCGCCUGCGUGAAGCCGGAAUUGCUAGUAAUCGCGGAUCAGCAUGCCGCGGUGAAUUCGUUCCCGGGCCUUGUACACACCGCCCGUCACACCACGAGAGUCGGCCACACCCGAAGCCGGUCGGUCGAACCCGCAAGGGACGACCCCGUCGACGGUGGGGUGGAUGAUUGGGGUGAAGUCGUAACAAGGUA
rnacentral:rRNA from 1 species